rnacentral:rRNA from 1 species
UGCGUAGGUGGCAAGCGUUGUCCGGAAUUAUUGGGCGUAAAGCGCGCGCAGGCGGUCCUUUAAGUCUGAUGUGAAAGCCCACGGCUCAACCGUGGAGGGUCAUUGGAAACUGGGGGACUUGAGUGCAGAAGAGGAGAGUGGAAUUCCACGUGUAGCGGUGAAAUGCGUAGAGAUGUGGAGGAACACCAGUGGCGAAGGCGACUCUCUGGUCUGUAACUGACGCUGAGGCGCGAAAGCGUGGGGAGCAAACAGG